AUAGUUACAUAAAAAACUUCAACGUUGGAACAAAGCUUGUUGUCACAGAUAGAAACCUUGCUACAGACCUUUCACCCAAGCCCACUAUCUUUCUUCCUUCAAUUGCUGAAAUCAACCACAAUAAAACUGGAACAUACCUUUGUCUUCUGGAGAAAUUUUUCCCUGAUAUUAUUAAGGUUUAUUGGAAAGAAAAGGAUGGCAACAGAGCUCUGCCAUCCCAGCAGGGAAAUACCAUGAACACCACUGACACAUACAUGAAGCUCAGCUGGCUGACUGUGACUGAAAACUCCAUGGAUAAAGAACAUAUCUGUGUCGUCCAACAUGAGAGAAAUAUAAGAGGAAUUAAUCAAGAGAUUCUUUUUCCUUCAAUAAAUGAAGUUGUCAGCUCAAUUGUCCCUACCACUGAGGCUCCCAGUGACUGUUUAAACCAGGAAAGCAAAGUUACCGGCACUGGUUCUAAAAAAGUUUGUCUGAAAGAUGAAAGCGAAGUCACUGCUGAUAAUAAUUCUACAAAAGUGUGUCUGGAAGAUGAAAGCAAUACCCUGCAGCUGCAGCUCAUGAACACCUCUGCCUAUUACACCUACCUCCUCCUCCUCCUCAAGAGUGUGGUCUACUUUAUCAUCAUCACCUCCUGUGUGUUUCGGAGAACAGGCAUCUGCUGUGAUGGGAAGAACUCGUGACAGAGGGUCCCUGAAGGAGUCAGCUUUCCUUAAUCAUCUGUCAUUACUGAAACUCUCUGCUUGGUUUUUGGAUUUGGGUUAUCUCAGUGCAUAUGUGAUUUUUUCCCCUUUUAUGUCAUUAUUGUGUAACAAUUUUUCAAACACUGGGGAAACAGAGAGUUCUACCCUGUGACAAGGAAUUCUGUUAUUACUCAGGGAACAAGGCCCAGGGAAGGUCCAGGGGAGCCUCUCCCACCACUGUCCCCAACCACAUCAGCUCCUUCCACCCCAAGUCCUCGUGCCUCCAGGACGCACAAAGCGGGCAGCUCCCCAUCUCCUCCCUCAGCAUCUUCCCCAAGACCACAGUCUUGACCCUCCCUGUUACACAUCCUGGGGAAGCCAGCUUUGCUACUUGAACUCUGUACUUUCUUUUUCAUAAUAGGCACAAUAAGUAAAAAAAUAAAUCAAAAG